AGAGUUUGAUUAUGGCUCAGGAUGAACGCUAGCGAUAGGCCUAACACAUGCAAGUCGAGGGGCAGCACAUGAAGUAGCAAUACGGAUGGUGGCGACCGGCGCACGGGUGAGUAACGCGUAUGCAACCUGCCUACAACAGGGGAAUAACCCGUUGAAAGACGGACUAAUACCCCAUAACACAGGGAUCCCGCAUGGGAAUAUUUGUUAAAGAUUUAUCGGUUGUAGAUGGGCAUGCGUUCCAUUAGCUGGUUGGUGAGGUAACGGCUCACCAAGGCAACGAUGGAUAGGGGAACUGAGAGGUUUAUCCCCCACACUGGUACUGAGACACGGACCAGACUCCUACGGGAGGCAGCAGUGAGGAAUAUUGGUCAAUGGACGCAAGUCUGAACCAGCCACGUCGCGUGAAGGAAGACGGCCCUACGGGUUGUAAACUUCUUUUGUAAGGGAAUAAAGUGCAGUACGUGUACUGUUUUGCAUGUACCUUACGAAUAAGGAUCGGCUAACUCCGUGCCAGCAGCCGCGGUAAUACGGAGGAUCCGAGCGUUAUCCGGAUUUAUUGGGUUUAAAGGGUGCGCAGGCGGGAGAUUAAGUCGGCGGUGAAAUUUUGCAGCUCAACUGUAAAAGUGCCUUCGAAACUGGUUUUCUUGAGUGUGGAUGAAGUAGGCGGAAUUUGUGGUGUAGCGGUGAAAUGCAUAGAUAUCACGAGGAACUCCGAUUGCGCAGGCAGCUUACUAAACCAUAACUGACGCUCAGGCACGAAGGCGUGGGGAUCAAACAGGAUUAGAUAC
rnacentral:rRNA from 1 species